rnacentral:rRNA from 1 species
GAUGAACGCUGGCGGCGUGCCUAAUACAUGCAAGUCGAGCGAACAGACGAGGAUCUUGCUCCUCUGACGCUAGCGGCGGACGGGUGAGUAACACGUGGAUAACCUACCUAUAAGACUAGGAUAACUACGCGAAACCUGAGCCAACACCGGAUAAUAUAUUGAACCGCAUGGUUCAAUAGUGCAAGUCGGUUCUGCUGUCACUUAUUGAUGUUUCCGCGCCGCAUUAGCUAGUUGGUAAGGUAACGGCUUACCAAGGCUACGAUGCGUAGCCGACCUGAGAGGGUGAUCGGCCACACUGGAACUGAGACACGGUCCAGACUCCUACGGGAGGCAGCAGUAGGGAAUCUUCCGCAAUGGGCGGAAGCCUGACCGAGCGACGCCGCGUGAGUGAGGAAGGUCUUCGGAGCGUAAAGCUCUUUUAUUAGGGAAGAACAAAUGUGUAAGUAUAUAUGCACGUCUUGACGGUACCGAAUCAAAAAGCCCCGGCUAACUACGUG